GAUGAACGCUGGCGGCGUGCCUAAUACAUGCAAGUCGAGCGAACAGACGAGGAGCUUGCUCCUCUGACGUUAGCGGCGGACGGGUGAGUAACACGUGGAUAACCUACCUAUAAGACUGGGAUAACUUCGGGAAACCGGAGCUAAUACCGGAUAAUAUAUUGAACCGCAUGGUUCAAUAGUAAAAGACGGUUUUGCUGUCACUUAUAGAUGGAUCCGCGCCGCAUUAGCUAGUUGGUAAGGUAACGGCUUACCAAGGCAACGAUGCGUAGCCGACCUGAGAGGGUGAUCGACCACACUGGAACUGAGACACGGUCCAGACUCCUACGGGAGGCAGCAGUAGGGAAUCUUCCGCAAUGGGCGAAAGCCUGACGGAGCAACGCCGCGUGAGUGAUGAAGGUCUUCGGAUCGUAAAACUCUGUUAUUAGGGAAGAACAAAUGUGUAAGUAACUAUGCACGUCUUGACGGUACCUAAUCAGAAAGCCACGGCUAACUACGUG
rnacentral:rRNA from 1 species